rnacentral:rRNA from 1 species
AUCUACGGCCAUACCACCCUGAGCACGCCCAGUCUCAUCUGAUCUCCAAAGCUAAGCAGGGGCGGUGCUGCUUAGUACUUAGAUGGGAGAGGAGUUGAAAUAAAGACCCUGGGGCCCUAUAAU